AUGAGGUCGGUGGAGUACCAGUCGUCGACCAUGGCGCUGGUGCCGAUCCUGGUCGCGCGCGGCGGCAGUGAGGGGACGACGGGCCCGAACCUAGAGGAGGAGCUCAAGGCGAUCUUGGGCUCAUCAUGGCAGCAAUUACAAACCGGGCAUGUGUGUUCCUGCUACAGCGUGAUGAUUCAAGAGGAGGACAGGUCCGUGCAGUCGAGCAGGGAGGUGGCUUCCUCCGACGUCUCCGCCGCCGCCCCCGCCGGGAGCCCGGGCACCUCCGUCGCCAUGGCCGUGGCCGCCAACGACAAUAAAGCCAUUGCCACCACCUCGGCGGACAAUAAGAGGAGAAGGCUGCAUUUUCCUCAGCGCCAGUAG
rnacentral:rRNA from 1 species